UACAAUUGGUCUUUAAAACAUUACAAAAGAACAGUCCACUGAUAGUGAUUUUCUGAUGGGAGAUAGUAAAGACUCUAACCUAAAUGAAAAUGUGGAGGCAUCAGUAAAUGCAGUGCAAGACAAAUUUCCACAAAUGAUCAUCAAGUGCAUUUUUGUUUCAUUGCUUCUUCUAGAUAUUUAUUAAAAUGCAACAUAAAACUUUCUUUCUUUCUUUUUUAUAUUUCCAUACAUCCUGGUUUGGCGGGUGAGUACGUGAAUGUCACAUUACUAACUGGGCAAAACUGGAUUUUGGGUGAGAUGGACUUGCAUUACAUGUCUUCAGCCUCACAGCUCCAGGACAAAAUGAAAGCUGCAAAUGUUGAAUAUUAAACAUAAACUGUAUCUGGAGUGAGAGAAAUACUGCCAGAUUAUUCCUUUAAGUGCUGAGCUGCCUUUGUUUUAUGUUUUUGAGGCACUGAAUCUAUUAAGGACAUACUUUGUCCACACAGUAAGUCAUGGAACAAUAAAAGGAAGGAAGUUGAUUUGAAAAACAUUAUGUUUGAGAAGUUAUAAGGACAUAAAGGACAUAAUGGAUGAGAAAGAGGAGAGGAGCAGAGGAAGAGAAGGAUGGUGGGAGUGUCUGUGGGCAGCCCAGUGAAGAAGUGAAAGUGAAAAUGUUUCUCAGAUUUCUGAAGAGGAAGUGAACACUUAUAAAUACUCACACAUAUUCACAUGAACAGACAGAACUGAGCAGCACGGGCGAGAGGGAGAAGUGAGAAAAGCCAGGACGGGUAAGAGUUGGCGGUCCUUCAAGGAACACUGAGAGAGUCUCUUAAAGGAAAAGUAAGAAAGAUUCAUCCAAAAGGGCACUGUUGAAUACCAAGAGGUGUUUCAUCCCUGCGAUCUGUCCUUUUGUCCCUUCUGCUUUGUGAAGUGAAAGUGCAGGAAGUGUAUGUACAGAGAGACUGUGUACAAAUGUUAUGAUAUGUUAAUAUACAGUGAAUAACGCUACACAUUUCUUAAUGCACCUCCUUGUUACCUUAUCAUGUAUUCCUUUUUAUUUUGUCUUUCUUACAUCUGACUAGUAAACUCUCAGUCUUCACCUGAGAUACUGCCCUUGCUAUAUUGGUGUGUUUUUGGUAGGGAAACAGGUUUUUCAGGCCUCCUGACUUUAGAUAAAGGAAGAUAAAUAAACAGGAUUGGCUUCAUCCAUGGAGAAACUGACGCCAACAGUGAUAAAACAGCCUAAAGAAUGUAUGAGUUUUAAUCAGAUUUUACAACGUGCGUAACUGGGUUUUUCCUAUCCAGUCCUAUGUUCAUACAAUGUGCUCAUAAUAUGUACGUCAUCAAUAGAAAUAUAAGUGUUCUGGUUAAAGAAUAUGAGACAGGACACUGAUCAUGAACAUAGUUAAUUGUAAAAUACUGAAGAAUAUUUCAGGAUUUGGUGAUAUCUCUACAUUGAUUUCCACCUUCGGAAUUUUUCACGACCCUCGAACGUCGUGAACCUCAGCGGUUGGGUGGUUAACGGAACCCAUAAUGCAGCUGAUUGGUUCAUUAACAGCUGGAUGUGGAUUCCGUUUCCCGCCUUUCCUGCAAUAAGGUGACAUUUCUACAGUCUCAAUUCUACAUUCUCUGUGUUUGUUAGUAGCUGAGAUGAGAAACUAGGUUAAAAUGGCUUUAAAGGAACCAUCUGUACGUGUUCUGCGAGUAAAAAUAGUAUUAUGUUUGAUACAGAUUAUAAUAGACUUAAUAAUGAGGUCAGUACUCUGCCGUUUUAGUUUAGUUUAGUCUUGCACAGCAUAAAAAAGGUCAAUAACUGUACUUUUAAGUUGAUUUGGUGCUGUCCAUUCAUUUCACACUUCUAAGGGGAGAAAUUGUAUUGAUGUUGCUGCAGAAUGACACGUUUUCUCCCGGAUUGCCAGCUAUACUAACCGCCACCGGGAACUUCGUGUCAGCCAGCAGUGACAUCCAAAUCUAUCAAUCACAUCGCCACCAGCCUGUCAAAAAAAACUCUCUGGGCGUCUUUCAACUCAAGUCAAAUCAAAAAAAAAAAAAAAAGAAAAGAAAAAAAACCCCUGAAUUAUUGUAUUUAUGUUGUCCAAUAAAGAAUGUAAAACCAA